rnacentral:misc_RNA from 1 species
GCCUGAGAGAGGGCAGGCGACACACACACACACACACACCUACACACAUACAUAGGAAGCAGUCUAGAGGUCGUUUCUUCGUCUUUUUUUUUCACCACUUGUUAGAUCACUCUUAUUAUCUUCUGUUCCGCACAUCUUUUUCUGCACGCGAGGUUUACCAGUCGCCGUUGUGCACGCCCCGCAGCGUAAACUUCCGGCACCUCGCCAUUCUUUAUUUCACCACAUCCCAGCCUCUUCGCCUGCACGCGCGAAGAGGCGCGCUUGUGCGCACUUCCGUCUGACUGUUCCGCUGGCAGGCCAAGCCUGCUGCACCGUCCGACGGAAACGAGUAGAAGUACGGCACUCAGCGGAUCGCCGCCGAUGUCUAGUGUCCACAGUGCUCAGAGCCCACUCACGACGAGCACCGUUGCUGCCACCGGUGAAGCUUUUGCGACCGAAACUCCUUUCUCCAACUCGAUCGAGGCAAUUCGUGCGCGACUACAGGAUGCGGUGCGCAAUAUCGACUAUAUCGUGGGGGCCGCACAGCGUCCCUCCAGCCCCACCGCAUCAAGAAGUGCUGCUGCGGGUAUGGAUGUCUCGUCCCCACGAGUUGACCGCUGGGAGGUCAAGAGUCCGGGUGAUGAGCGACGACUGCAUGGCGGCCCGACGAGUUGCACUGCGGCGCUGGCGCUGUUGAGAGCCAGGCAAGCGUCCGCUGCUCCUAGGAGCUCUGAAGCAGGCACCUUGCCGGCAUGCCAACCACCACCAACGCCACAUUCAGAUCAGAUGAGCGAGGACUCGCCUACCCCAGGCCCUUCUGUUGCCACACCAUUUACGGCCUCUUACUUCCGCGAGAGCGCCUCCACUGCUAGCGCCACGACCGAGGCCGGGACGGUGCUCUCGGCCACCUAUGCCGCAGCCCUGGACUUUUGGCGGGUCCAUGGCCGGCGCACCUACCGGCCUGCGCCGAUGGCGCAAGCAGGUCUCACCGCAGCCUCCUUGGCUGAUGCAGCUCUUGCGUCGGCCGCCGCCUCGACACUCUCUCAAGCACCGGUAGCAGGUGCUCACAAUGCCCACACUGCGGCAUCUAUCACCUUCGCGCCGCCGCCGCCACACUCGAAAGGGCAAGGCUCCGCUGCAAGUACCAAAUUCGCGGAGAGGGCGCACACCGACACGGACAUCCUCGCUGACACUGCCGCCGGGCCUGCACGGUUGUCUAACACGUUAUCGACGGCUGCAGCGACAGCGACGGCGACGGCGACGGCGCAAACGGGCCACAAGGCAAUUUUUGCUCCGCUAUCUUGGCCGCCUCGAGUUGCGCUGCCGGCGUCUCUUGCUGCCACGACGCCGUCCACGACGAGAUCAAGGUCGCUGACGCCUGAUUGCAGUCGCACCCGUCACACGCAACCCCCGCAGGCCCUAGCGGAUGACUCGUGCUUUUCCACGCCCGCACCAGCCCCCCUGCCGUCGCCGUCGUCGGUGACCACCUUGUCUGCGCGGCUGGCGGCACUUCGCGCUGCCGACACGGCUCAGCGCAGUUCUGUGCUCACGCAGCAGAGGCAGCGACAGGAAUGGCCUCGUGAUGAGAAGAGACACGUUUCCUCGGGGACUUCAGCGCUGGUGACUCCCGCUACCGCUCUGCUCGCGGACUACGCUGUUCGCGCGCACCGAGACAACGAGGCAAGCACCAGCGAGCACUUCGGCGCGAAUAACGCCCCCGUACAUCACCGGCAAAGCCGGGCAGAAUCGCAGCAUCUGCCGCAGAGCAGUGCCGCCGUGGGCCAGAUCUCCACCAAUGCUACUUCGGAUCACAACUGGCUGGUGCGCAGCCCCCCGUCGAAACCUGCGACAUCGCCAACCGCAACGACGCGGCAGGCACAGCGGGCCAAUCGACGAGACGAGACCUCUUUCAUCGUCUCGCUCGCCCAAGACAUGCAGGCGGCCCGGGAAGAGGCGUGGCGCGAUGCUCUGGACAGCGUGAAGCUGGAGCCUCCGGUCCGGCCGCCACCUCUGCCUCCUCUCGAUACUUCCGGGCUUUCGAGGGACACUCCACCUUCCCGGCUACCUGAGCACCGCGGCGGCGGCAUCGGCGACAAGCCGCUCUUCGCUCUCGCAGCCACCGCCGACACAAGAUGGGGCGCCGCUGCCGCAACUGCGUCUUCACGCGCUUUGGCGUCGUCAACCGCACCACUCGACGCACUUCAGGCACGACUCUUGCCGUCGGCGAUUGCGAUGGCCACUGCCGGCAGGGGGGCGGCGGAGAACGAGUCGCUGCCGAUGCACGAGGAGCUGGCGAUGCGUGAGCGACUGGCUUCGCGACGGCAGCGGCAGAGCGAACACGCACUCGUCGUGCACGGCAGGGCGGCAGAGCACCAAAGGCAGCGCUACGAGCGCCUCAGCGACGCCCGCGAUCGCGACGUGGCCGAACACCUCCGCGGGGAGAUGGCUCGGCAGACGGCGGUGCAGGCUGCUGCGCAGGCCCGUGUUGCACAGGUGCGUGCCGCGUUGCCAGACCACCCGGAAGCGGUGACUAGUGACGAGCUCGUCGCUAUUCGCCUGCACGCACAGCAGCUGGAGCGGCUGCGAGAGCAGACGCAGUGGGUGAUGGGGCGGUCGCCUUCGCUCCACAUGGGAGCAGCCCCCGCGCCUGCAGCCGAUGCGGUGUCCACGACGGACUCUUCCUCUUUGCUGAUUCCAGUGGCUGCAAGUGGCAAGGCCUGCGGUAUUGCAGCAGCUCAGCGUGGGCACAUAAAGGAGGGAGCCUCAACGACAGCGCAGCAGACGUGCACCACCACUGGCAAAGAGAAACAUCCACAUAGCCCAUCUGAGAAGGUCGUGGCUACCGCAGCCGCAACGCGCACUCGCUACAGUGAUGUAACUAUCGACCCAAGCGUUGUGGCUGGCGAUGGUGUCCGCAGUGUUGGUGCGCCAUCUGCGUCGGCGCAGAUCACCGCUUCCGCUGAGCGGGAGGCAACACCAGAGCAGACCAUGGCGGCACAUCGAGCCUGCCCGUCCUCCUCCUCCCAGGAUCUCGUGCAGAGACACGCAGCAGAGUCGCGCCAGCACCGCUCGGCCACGCCUGCUCACGCCAACGGGCGAGUAGCAGGAGAGACCGUGCACGAAACCGAGAGAUCUGCUGGUGGCUCCCUGGACGAGGACUUGCUGACUUCGACGCAACUACCACCUCCUUUGUCCGACGUUCAAGUCAAAGCCGAGAGACGGGCGAGGACGCCAGCGCCGUCUACUGUCAAGUUGCAGAGAUCUGCGUCGUCACCUUCGGCCUCUCGCGCCGAUGGCGUUGGCACGGGGAAGCCGACUUGGGUGGCGCCGAUGCAGUCUUCCGUCUCCACGUCCUCCAAAGCCGCAUCUUCACCGAUACAGCGUCAGAACGCACUGACGGUGUCCGCAAAUGACGACGCCGAUCGCGACUUGAUCUCGUCACCUCCAUCGGGUCGAUACAGCGAACGCGGCGGCAAAGCCGCCGGGUCGACAGCACCGGAUCGGAUCGCCUCAAUUCAGUCUACCCGUCUCCACGUCUCCGCGAGUCGCGGCACGGCCUGGCAAGAUGAUUCGACGGCGUCUGACGCGACAUCCUCGUCUUCUUCCCGGCUGCCGGCGUCUGCGUCGCCGUUCCGGGCGUUACACAGUGCCCCCGGUGCUGGAGGCAGUGCGAGGCCACCGGUUUCACGGACGCGAAGUCCCCUGUACGACGGCCGCGUAGACCCCUCUCGCUCUGCCUCUCUGCACCGACGCGGCACACCCGCUGCAGAUGGCGCGCGCCGCAGUGGUGCUGGUAGAACAGGCAGCAGCGCGCUGACCUCCUCUCGCGCAACGACGAGUCCGACUUUGCGGAACAAAACGACAGAUCCGUUGCAGGCACACCGACGCGCCGUGCAGCACGAAGUGGACAAGCGCACCGCCUUGCGUGCUCAGGCCACGCUCUCGGAGCAUGGCAUUGCUGUAAAUGUCCAGCUGGCGGGACACCGCGUGCCGUCGCUGGUGAAGCUGUCGAAGGACGGGAAAGAGCUACUGUUCUACCUCGAUCGCAUUGAGCAGGUGCCACUCCCGACACCGCGCGCCUCUCCGCUCACGUCGUUGCCAGCCUCCUCGGCCGAGUUCGCAUCUCGCUCCCCGUCGCCAGCGACAGUCUUGCCGCGCGUACCUGGGACCGGCAAUGCGCCAGCCACGAUGAGCCGAGGAUCACAGCUGUCUGCCUCCUCGUCUCCAGCGGCAGCACAGCCACCACGGUUCCACCUACCGCGGUUCCCUGGCGUUGCGGCUCCUGUUGCACCAUCUAUGCAGCCGCACAGCGGUCUGGUGAAGAUGCUACCCACUGACACGUUCGUCAAGGGGAAGGCGAUCGCGGGGCGAGGCGGCGGCGUCGCUGGGGCUUCGCCGCGGGGCAUUGCGCCGUCGCUCUCUUCACCGCAACAGCAGCGGCUAGUUGCCGCCGCACCGCCACCGCGCGGCGGUACGGUACCGUCCCCGUCGCCACUCCCGCCGCACAUGGCGGCGUCAACGCUGCUGAGACGGGGCGUGCCCCCUUGCGCUGCCGCCUCGACUCGGCCGAUACGUGUGCGGGAGCUGCAUCACUUUCCGUGCGCGUACUCUCGGGUGUACGUUCCAUUCGGCGUCAUGGGCUAUGAGAGCGACCUCGGUCUUGGCGGCCCGAAGACUUGGGAGGAUGUCGACGGCGUCCUCUGCGGACCCGCCAGCUUCGAGGUCCUUCGGCGCUACCGAUGCCCGCUGUUUGCCGAGGUACGGGGGCCGUUAUGUGCUCCAUAUCGAGUCUACGUCAUCAUUCCCCAGUUCAAGCGGAUCGACCUGCCGCAGGAUGCAGUGCUGCUCGUGCUUGACUUCCAGCAGCGCGUCGACUGGGUGCUCUUCCUGCUGGCGAUGCAGCACGAUGUGGCGGACAGAGGUGAUUGCGACAGCGGCGUCGAUAGCGGCGUUCUCGCAGACUCUUCGAGUCUCAGCGCCGGCGCUGUGCAAUCGCGGGUUCUGUCGUACGGCCGCGCUCUGUGGAUGCUGGCGGUGCAGCGCCUCCAGCGGGCACGUGCGCUGCGCGGAAUGAACCCCUUCGACCUUGACAAGAUGUGGCCCGUCCGCCAUCCCGACCAGCGCGGAAGCCGAGGGGCUGAGAGAAGAAGCGGGCGUGGCGCGCCCUCUGUGACGCCAUCUCCCCUCGCAAAGGGUAGGGUUUAUCCGCUGGCGGGAGGCGCUGCUGCCACCCGUCGAUCCGACACGCGGCCACCGACCCGCAGCGGCCGCCACCACGGUGCUGGGUCCAAGGCACGCGCCUCAUCAGCCGAGUGCACCUCUGUGCCCCCUCGCGGGAGAAACGACUCACCGGCCCGCCGCAGAGACCCGGGACUGGACUUGGGGUGGGAGGUCUCGGCGGCGGCGGAGGGAGUCACCAGAGGGAGCCACCGGGGCAGUGACGCUCGCUUUUGGAACCCCAGGCAGCAUACGUCCCCCGCGCGACCGCAGGCGUUCUCUACAUCACGAGCGGGGGCAGAAGCGGUACCAGUGACCUCGCAAGAGGCGUCGAAGCCGCGAUUUGAGCUCCUGAAGCGUGUGUCGCGCAGUCUAGGCGUCAGGAGGCCUGGCAAAGGCAGCUGACACGCAAUGCGCCAGUCACAUGCAAGACGAAGUCUGCGUGACUGAAGAAGUCACCGGUAACUGAGCGCAUGGGCCUGCACGUGCUUCUCGAAGCUCAUCUCUUCUCCCACACGCACAGACGGGGUACAGGGCCUCCAGAGGGCUCUGAGCUGCAGAUGGUCAGCUUCCUCUUCGGGCCCGUCCGAUAUGCACCUGGACGAGCCUCUGUUACCCGCGCAACGGACGGCCGCCGCUUUCAAGCGGGCGCAGGGCCCUGAAAGCGGCCCGCACGGAUCAUGGCAUGCAGCCCACCAGCAUCUCUGCCUGACGCCGAUCGCGCGGGACGCAUGCGGCAGAAGGGACGAGAAAUGCCGGAAAGGGCCCACUAGACGCAUGGUCCGAUUCGAGGGCAGGAUGGCUCGCCCCGGAGGAGCAGGAUGCAGCCGUGGUGCAGCGGAGGCGGGUGAGCUGUGACUGUUUAUGCGUGUCUGCUCGAUGAUCUAUUCGUGCCGGAGUGGGCGCACUGAUGAGAAAACCCUUCUCCGACUUCUCCUGUCUCACCUCUGCGCGCGUGUGCGCGAGAGGGUCGAUGGGUGCAGCUCAACUGUGGCCAUCUGAAGUCGCUCGCCACGUGUGGUGCUUUUCUAAUGUACGCGAGGACGCCUCGGGUGACUGCCUUCAUCUGGGCUUUUGUGGAGAGCACAUGCGGCAGCGAGACAGCGGCAAGAGAAGGGUGGAUGAGGCACGCGUACAAGCAAGACGCACUCUUCUAUCUCUGUCUGUGUGUGUUUUGCGUGAGCGUCGUCGCCGGG